AGUGAAAUGGCUGAAAUUAGGCGAUAAAUUGUAAAUUUAUUAAUGGUUAAAAUCCUUUUACUG
rnacentral:tRNA from 1 species